rnacentral:lncRNA from 1 species
UAUAUAAUAACUGCAAAAGCAUGAAAGUUCAAGAGGUGUCAAUAAAUCUAUCCUUAAUCAAGAAACUACCAUACGAUCAGUAGUUACGAGACUCAGAAUUUCACAUACCAAUUUGGAAACUAAAAUUCAUUGAGAACCAUUAAUUAAGGAACUUAAGCUGAAAACUUGAUAUCAGUCUUCAUGUAUAAACAUAAUGAAGAACUUGUACAAACUACUAAGUGCAACUUAAGAAAGGCAUGUACUUUGGCAUAAUGUCUAGUAUCCCGAUGGGUCGAGCCCCCAGCAUCUUGGGUUAUAUUUUAGUAUGAGUUCUUGGUGAAGUUUAUACGGUGUAGGGGCCUAGAAGAAAGAUCAAUAUAUAUAUAUAUAUAUAUAUAUAUAUAUAUAUAUAUAUAAAGCUCCACAUACCCACUUACUAAAGGUUUUCUCUUUGCUAAUGCAUGCUCAUGUUAAGGGGUGACAAUGCUUGAAAAAGGUCUAAGAGAAUAGGUGAAAUAUAUUAUUGUACAUUUCUUGUUAUCACGAUUCAAUUUACUGUUUGGCACUGCUCAAUUGUAUUCCAAAAGAAUAUUGACUAAAACGAUCGACGCUACAUUUAUAAAAGAGUAUUUCCAAAGACUGAGAGUUAAUGACAAAAGAAAUAUUAUAUAAAAAUAGAAAGAGCAUAUUGUAGCAACUAAAAUAUGCAGAAUGACGUACACCAAAAGAUAGCCGCAGCUUCUAAAAUACAUACGUCCAUGUGGAUCUAUUCCCAAAACCUCUGCUCCUUGGCAAGCCUUCGACAAAUUAAUCAACCCAUCACUUCUUUCCAGCAAACAAUCAGGACAAUACCAGUCGCCUUCGGGCAAAAGAUCUUUAGCCACUCCAACGCAUUUAGAAUGAAAUGCAGCAGGACAACCAUCACAGCAUAGAAGAUUACCAUCCAUCCCACAAAGGCAACAUUCAUCGCUAUUCCCAUCAACAUCAUCUUCAUAUUUGUGAGCGAACGAACCCCCCAAAGUUUCCAUACCUGGCUUAGUCCUCCGUUUUGCGAUGGUCAUGUUUGUGUUGUACUCAGAUUGGCUCAUUCUUAAAUUCAGUUCUGAUCUAAUUUCUUCAACUUCAAUGACAUUAUCACAUAGACAACGGAGUAAAUCCAGUUUCACGUCAGCAGGCUGUUCAUAGUACUCCUUAUUCAAGAGCCUCAAAUGAGUAAGUUUGAUACCAGAUUUCAAACUUGAACCAAAAACUAGUAAGUACUCAGCAAGGUAAAGAGGCCAUGUUACUAAAUCUAAGAGCUCCCAAUUAAGGUUCCUACAAAGAAUAGAUGUAUAAAAAAGAAGGCAAUUAACAGAGUAAGAGAUAAAUUGCCUACUGAACAAGCAAAGUGAAUAACAGUAACAACGGAAGCACCUGAUGCAAUCAGUAGCUGACUGAGAUCCUUCUUCAGAAAGGAAUUCCAAAUGCCUCUUCAAUGCUUGCAAUAUGGAAAAAUGAAUAGAGUCGAUCAAUGAAUUCACAUGUUUGCAUCUCAAAGCCGCCACAAAUGCUUCCAACCCAAACGGGCUCAGAAACAGAGGCCUGCUAAAAGAUCUCAAACAAGUGUAAACAGAGAAAAGAUCGAGGACAGGAAGCCCUUCUAAAUCCAAAUCAUUCGAAGAAGAGGGCAGUUCUGGAUUGGCGAAAUCCUCACUAACACAUGCAUCAGCUUUAGCCUCUGAAAUUGUAUUAUCUUCAGCAGCCACCUGAAGCGUAACAGAAUUCUCAGUAGAUUGCAAAGAAGUAUUUGCUCUACGAGCACUCCUCCUCAGAGGUGUCACAGUAGAUAAAUCGACUUUCUUCGGACGCCCUCGUCUUCUCUUUCGACCUUGAUCACCCUCCUCUGUUCCACACAUAGCAUCAUCUCCCUGCUCUAUAGGAUUUUUCAGUGUCAUCUCCUCAAUUUGUGUGUCGGUAUAGGGUUCUCGAGAGCCAUUUUCCUUCAAAUCAACUGCGAAUCCUUCACUAGUACCAUUUUCCUCCAACCUCACCAUCUCCGGAGUUCCUCCAAAACCCUGAGAAGAAUCUUUCUCCAACAAAUCCCCAUACGAACACUUGCCAUUAGCUUCAGCUCCAUCUAUAGCACCCAAAAAACCACUAUGCCCCUCGAUCCCACCAGAAACCUUAGUGUUUUCCACCAAAUUCCCACCUCCCUUUCUCAGUGGUGUCACCGUAGAAGAUUUGACUUUCCUGGGACGUCCCCGUCUUCUCUUUCGAACUUGCUCACCCUCCUCUGUUCCAUGUAUAUUAUCACCUCCCCGCUCUACUAGAUUUUUGGGGAUCAUCUCCUCAAUUUUGAUAUCCAUCAAGUGUUCAAAAAACCCACUUUCCUUCACAUUACCCACCAAUCCUACACCACUACCAACUUCCUCUGACCUCCCCAAUUCCGGAGUUCCUUUCAUCGCCUGAGAAGAACUUCUCUCCAAAAAAUCUCUAUUAGAACACUCAUCGCUAGCUUCAGUUCCAUGUAUAGCACCAAAAACUCCAUUUUGCCUUUCGAUCCCAUCAGAAACCCCAGUGCUUUCCACCAAAUCCCCAUCUCUCCUUCUCAAUGGUGUCCCGGAAGAAGAAGUGACUUUCCUGGGGCGUCCUCGUCUUCUCUUUGGAACUUGCUCACCCUCCUGUGUUCUACGUAUAGUAUCAUCUCCCUGCUUGAUCGGAUCUUUGGGUGCCGUCUCCUCAAUUUGGGUAUCUCUAAACCCUUCAGAAGAGCCAUUUCCCUUCACAUUAUCCACCGAUCCUUCACUACAACCAUUUCCCUCCAACCUCCCCAAUUCCCGAGUUCCUACCAAACCCUGAGAAGAACCUUUCUCUAACAAAUCUCCAUUGGAGCACUCACCACUAGCUUCAGCUCCUUCUAUAGCACCCAAAACAUCAUUUAGCCUCUCGAUCGCAUCAGAAACCCUAGUACUCUCCACCAAACCCCCACCUCCAUCCCCCAAAGCACUACCCUCCCCAAACCCCCCGUUCUCCACAGAAUCCGGCUCCGCCCGCCGCCGCUUCUUCGGCCUCCGCCCGUGAUCGUCCAUCCCCUCCGCUUCUACGUGGGGUAGCUCCCCCACCUCCCCCAACAUCGACGCGAUCUCACCAAAAUCGACCUCCUCGGUGUCCCCGUCCUCGUAGAGCACCUUGAAGAAUCUCGUGGACGCAUCAUACGACUCCACAACUCCCUCAUACGUCCCGAGCCCCGGGAACGUCUUCCUCACGACACUCCCGACCAGCUCCAUCACACCCGGGGAGCUAGGGCUCCCGAUCGAUCCCCAAAACCAAAUCGAAUCGAAGAACACGAAGAACACGAAGAAGAAGAGAUCGGAUUCGACCAACAACAAGAUGAGAUUGAGGCGAAAUUGGAGAAUGGCAAGAGAGAGGGGGGGGGGAGGGUUCUCCUUUCCCUUUCGAUCUCUCGCUCUUUAAUUUCGUCGAAGAGGAGAGGAACGAAGAACGGGGCUUCGUUUCCGAUGUCCCGCGGGAACACUCUAAAUGGUGGAAUAUGUGCAAGAUCCUUGCUGUAUUCCUAUUUUGCAAAUCCGUCCUUAAACUUUUAAUGUCCGUACAGGUCUAUUUGUCAAUAAGCCAAAUGAGUUUUUUUUUUUAAAAAAAAGUUAAUUUCACGUAACUCACAAAUAAAGUAGUUGUUUUGUAUUAUACUUGAUAUUAUAAUUAUUUUUUAUAGUUUAUACAUAUGUUUGUAAUAAAAUAUACUUGUAAAUGGUAAUUCAAAAAUAUGCCGUACUUUUUUUUUCUAGUGUAAGUGCAAGAUUACCUCAAUCUAAUAUGCUCUAAUGCAAGCGAAUAAGAAAUUACAGGCAACUAGUAAAAAAAAAUUAUAGAAUGAAUAAAAUCAUGUCUAAUUUUAAAAAAAGAACCCAAUGAUCUUUUUACAAUAAAGGGUGAAACUACACAAAUAUCUGGAAAGUUAAAAAAAAACUUAAGUGGAAUAUACAGACAUUAAGAUUAUCCAUACAAUUUACACUAUUAUAUAAAUUAACUACUAUUAAUAUAAUCCAAUCUAAUGGAUACUUAGGGAUGCAAACACGCCGGAUCAUAAGGCGGGAAGGUUCCUCCACCUCCCGCUCUAUUUCUUAUCGGAACGGGACAGAACAGAUUCGAUUAUUUUUUAUUUUAUUUUCGGCUUCUACUUAAUUACCGUUCCAUUCAGGGUGGAUCGGGACGGGAGCAAAUUUUUGACGGAUUAAAACGGAUUGAAGGAAGAAAAGAAUUUUCCGCCUCCCGCUCUAUUUACUUGGCUGAUUGGCGAAAAUUUGAGGUAGGUUAUAUAUUUCUAUAUUUUUUUAUCACUUCAUUCAGAGCAGAUCGGGGUGGGAGUUCUACCAACCUGGAUCCAUUUGCAUCGCUACGAAUGCGGUGUUAAAUGAGAUGGCAAAUCAUAAAUGAACGGUCCAGAUUCAACGAAGCGAGUGAGACUGGGGAUCUUACCGUUGGUUAGUUUCUUCUUCUUUUUUUAAGUUGUGUCGAGGGAGCACCUGAAGAUGAGGACAUGGGGAUUUGAGGGUGGGGUGUUAAAUAAAACUUUAAAAAAAAGUGAGUAGUGAAAAGUGUGGAUUUGUUUCACGUUUUAAGGGAUAAAAAAAAGGUAGUUGCUAAUUCUUGCUUUUAGCGCACUUGUAACGCGCAGUUACGACUCGUGAGUAGGUGGAUUCCCUACAGCAUGGGUUGUACUUGUAGUUGCUACUCACUUUGGGCCACGUGGCUUGCUGUCAUUGGUCGAGAAAUGUACAGAAAAAAAAAUCUACAGAGGAGCGAGUUCACUAGUCACGUGAGGUGACUACUAAAAUAUUCCCACUCAUCAAUAGAUAUAUUAAAACGUGAAUUCUCAAAGAAAUUACGUGCCGCGUACUUUGUUUCUUAUGAUCUGUUCACCUACCUCACCUCUUUUCCUUUCCAAAUCACUUUAAAUUUGUCAAGUGCUACGGUAUCAUGCAUAAUAUACACUCAUUAUAGGGUGUAUUAUAGUAUUAUUCUUCAAAAUAAUUAUUUUUAUAUGAAUUUUCUAAGCUUCUACUUGUAGUAAGAAUUUUGUGUUUGUGUUCACUUUCAGUGUUGAUGAAUUGCGAGAUCAACUUUGUACACAUAAAUUCUUACGUUACGUACGAAGAUUGUAGACAAAUUACGUUUUUAUAUAAAUAAGCCGCAGUGUUGUUUGGUAUAAUAUUAUUUAAACAGUAUUAUGGGAGAUACUUGAAUUUCUUAAAUAUUUAUCUCUUUUGGAUUAAAAAGGUAAAAGUUCGAAAUUAAUGUUUUUGCCUUUAGAAUUCAAACUCUCAUUUCAACUUUUUUAUUAUGGCGUGAUUCCCAAAAAAAAUUCGUUUAUCUACUGCAGUAUAAAUGCCUACUAUUUAUUAUGAAAUAUCCGAUCGUUCGUAGCACAAGUAGCUAUUGACUUGAUGAUUAGUAUUCGAGAUUAUAAGUUCGAAACUUAGUUAGUUCAUAUUUCUAACUAAAUUUAUUUAUAGAAAAAAUAAGUUAAGUGGAUACUAUGCUACCAUUCUCGUUUAAAAAAACAAAAAAAUCGAUAGUAGAAUUUCGGCCAAAUAAGCUAAUAGAAUAGAAUUAUAUCAUUGUGAGAUUUUUUUUUUUUGAGAGAGAGAUAUAGAUAGUAUGACACACUUUUCGUUUAUUUUAUUUAUAAAUAAAUUUAGCUGGAAAUGUGAAUCAACCGAGAUUGUAAUGAACUCGAUUGAGAGUUGGUCAAAGUGAGGAGAACUCAAGUUAGAAUUUUCUUUCAUAAGAAACGAAUGGUUUCAGAUGUUCUCAUUAGCCGGUAGACUCAGAUUUCUUAGGCGAUUUUAAAAAUAUUUUGGAGGGAAUUGCAAUUUGGAGGAACCCUUUCAUACUCACUUGUAGGCGUGGCGUAACCGUUAUUAUAAGGAAAAACUUCAAAUACCAUCCUGUGGUUUUGCAGUUUCUUAUUUUUGUACCAUGUGGUUUAAAGUAUAUCAAUUUAGUAUUCUAUGAUUUUAUUUAUUUUCUUUUUAUUAUCCUUUUUAUUAUUAUUUUUUUUUAAAUCAGUGACAAAGUUAAAACUAAAAGGUACUAACGUGAAUAUUCGAUAAACCUAGGUGGGGUAUCUGAAAUUUCUUGCAUAUAAUUUAACGAGAUGUUAACAAAUAAGCUGACGAAAAAAGACAAAUAAAACUACAGGGGACUAAAUUAAUACGCUUUAAACCACAGAAUAUUAAAGUGAGAAAAUACAAAACAACAAGGCUGAUAUUUGAAGUUUGCCCUUAUUCUAAUAAUUAUUUGUAGCCAAUAUAUGUUGUAAUGGUCCCUAGAGCAAGUCGCAAAAGGCUUGGUGGUUGGUAUCCGAGACCCAAGUUCGAAUCCUAGUUGAUUUACAUUUUUUGCUAAGUUUAUUUCUAAAUUUUUGCUAAGUUUAUUUCUAAAUGAAAUAAACGAAGCGGGUAGUGUACUACCUAUCUCUCAAACAAAAAAAAGUAUAAGAUCGAAAAAAAAAAGUCUAAUUGCUCAAACCUAGAUAUAUAUAUAUAUAUAUAUAGAGAGAGAGAGAGAGAGAGAGAGAGAGAGUAAGGCUACUAUACUAUUAUGAGUAUUGGGCCUUUCGUACACAUAAGUUAUUUUCGAUGAUGGAGCUUCCGAAUCGACGAUCCACUCCGUUAAAUAUGAUCUAGAGUAUUUGAAACUUCUAGAAAAUAAAUUUCGUAAUUUUUCGAAAUCAUAAUAAAGUCCAUCAAGUGGGCAUAAAAUGAACAGUCAAAAUCGAACGAUGUCUUAAAAAUGGAUGAUCAGAUCCUUCAAUUUAAAAUCAGAGUUAUUGAUCUUUAUCUAGGUAGUGAAUAGAAUUUUCUAUCAAAAAUUCAACCUAUUCGGAUUCUUUUGCACCAUUAAACUAGCAAGUAUUCCAUACCGGCCGUUAAAAAUUGUUAAUUUUGUAACCUUUUGAUCGUAAGUUAAAUGAUGUCGAAAAAUUAUGAAAUUUGAUUUCUAGAUGUUUCAAAUGCUCUAGAUAACGUUUAACGGUGUGGAUCGUCGAACCGGAAGUUCUAUCAUCGAAAACAACUUAUGAGUACAAGGACGAUCGUACUCAUAAUAGUAUAGUAGCCGGACUCUAUAUAUAUAGAGAGAGAGAGCAGGGCUGCUGUACUCUCAGGAGCACGGAGGCAGAGCAGGGCUGCUGUGCUCUCAGGAGCACGGAGGCCCUGAGCCGUUUACGAUGAUGGAGUUUCUGAAUCGACGAUCGGUUUCGUUAAACUUGAUCUAGCGUAUUUGAAGUUUCUAGAAAAUAAUUUUUACAAUUUUUCGAUAUCAUUUACCUAACAAUCGAAAGGAUUCAAAAUCAAUAAUUUUUAACAGCUGAAAAUAAAAAUUCUAUAAAAAGUGAUGAUAUAGCAUUAAAAUUUUUGAUUAGAAAUAUUGAUUUUGUUAUAGAUAGUAUAAAAAAUUUUGUAUCAAAAUUUCAUCUUAUUUGAAUACUUCUACACCGUUAAACUUGAAAACGGCAGAUAUCAACCAUUAAAAAUUAUGGAUUUUGAAUCCUUUCGAUCACUAGGUAAAUGAUAUAAAAAAAUCGCAAAAAUUAUUUUUUAGAAACUUCAAAUACGCUAGAUCAAGUCUAACAGAGCAGAUCGUCGAUUCGAAAAUUCCAUCAUCGAAAACGGCUCAGGAGCACAGAGGUCUCCGUGCUCCGGAGAGCACAGCAGCCCUGCUAUAUAUAUAUAUAUAGUGAGGCUACUAUACUAUCGGAAGCACGGAGCCUUCCGUGCUUCCAGCUCGUUUUCGAUGUUGCGACUUUCGAAUCGUCGAUCGGCUCCGUUAAACUUGAUCUAGAGUAUUUGGAGUACCUAGAAAAUAAAUUUUAUUAUUUUUCGAUAUCAUUUGCCUAGUAAUCGAAUAGGCUCAAAAUCAAUAAAUUUCAAUGGCCGUAGUGAGCAAUUUGCAAGUUUAACGGUGUAGAAAUAUCCAAAUCACGUGAAAUUUUGAUAGAAAAUUCUUUAUAUUAUAUAAAACAAGAUAAAUAUCUUUGAUUUAAAAUUUUAAUGUCAUAUUAUUACAUUUUGUAAGAUAUAUAUAUAUAUAUAUCUUGUCACUCUCAUAUCAAAUUUGAUGGCAAGUGCCCGUUUCUAAAUUCUAAACAGGGUUUUGUAAGGAGAAAAGUUCGGUCUAAUUUGGCACAGCGGCUGUGGCCGUUGUGGCGUUGCAUGCCCAUGAUCUAAGCCCGAUCGUGAAAACAUCUUAAUGGUACCUCGACAAUAGUAAAUUCAAUACAGAGAAUAAUAUUUGAUUAUCAUUCUGUGAUUAAUAGAAAAUAGAACAUGAUUCCAACUGUAACUUAUUCCAUACAAAAAAUAUCCAUUUCUGAUCGAACUAAACUAAGUUCUUCCGAACUGAAAUUAAUUCAACCCUAUUCAGAUUCGAAUCCAAAGUGAGUUUUGGUUGGCCUUACUUUUGCUUCUAUUUUAUAUAUUUUUUUAAUUAUGUUUUUUAUUUAUUUGGGCCUUAUUAUCUAGGCUAUAGUAUGCUUGCAUUCCAACUUUUAAAUACGUCCCGCUUUCAAAGGCCGCCUGUCACUAUCAUGGUAGGCCCUUAUCCUAUUGUGGUGGUGACGAUUAACAUUUUGAAGCGCGGUGACAACUGAUAUUAUAACUAAUUAUUAGUUGGAAAUAUGAGAUAAGUUUUAAUUGAACUAUGGUUAUACAGUAGACAGAACGCAGUUCUUAACUAACAAUUGUUAUCGGUGGAGUGCAACUCCCUACAAAAUCGGGUAAGACUAGUAAGACGAGUUUCACAUUAUCAGAGACUUGUGAAUACUUAAUUCGGCUAUACUAUGUUCGACAAUUGUUAGGCUAAAAAAGAUAAGAGAGUUAAACGUGCUAGAGCUAAAGUUUGGAUGAAAGAUUUAAUGUAAGUUAGGCCUUAAUUGAUCCAAGUGGGUCAAUGGGCCUCUUUCCUUUUAUCUUUCUUGUCCAUGUGAAGUAAGUGGGCCUUGGCACUUGUACAUGUAAGUUAGGGAUGACAAUUUCUCCUGGAAGUAGAUUUUCAUGUGGAGACCUGCUUUAAUCUUUUGCCACUGGAAACACAACUCAAGAACAGGAUAGCUAUUCAAAACCCCACUGAAUCACCAUAUACAUAGCAAUCAUAUAUAUCUAAAAUAAUAUUUUAUUAACUAAGGUUGGUGAUUAAUCUAUCUGUCUAUUAGAGUAAGUUAUUUACAAAUAAUUUACGUAAUACAGUGACUUUUUACAUAUCUUAUCAUACUUUUUAUUCUAACAGAUCAUUCCCCGAAUAAUCCUUGAAAGUUCAUAGGAACACAUAUUGAACAAGAUGUUUAUAUAUUUUUCACCGUAGAUUUAUUAGACCGUAGACACAUACCCUAUGUAAAAUUCUAUUUGCUUAGCUCAGAAACUUGAUUUUGAAACCAUUUGAAUACUCUCGGGAGCUCUAGCCAAUAGAAACUAAACCGCCACACGGACAAAAAUUUUAUGGUCACCGUGCCGAAACAAUUUGUUUGGGCACGGUGCCCGGAUGGGCGCCGCGUGUGCAGCGGCGCCCAUCUGCACCCUCCCCUCCCCCUCUCUUUCUCUCUCUUCCUAAANCGCCGCUACACACGCGGCGCCCAUCCGGGCACUGUGCCCAAACAAAUUGUUUCAGCAUGGUGCCCAUAAAAUUUUUAUCCGCGCCACGCGGCGAUCCCUGUAACGUAACAAUCAAAUCCCCUCAAAUUGCGCGCACUCGAAAGCCACGUGGACACAAGGACCCUAAAUUACACAAGGGGGAAAGAUUCCUAGGGUUCACGAGAGAAUGUGUGGGAACACACAAGGACAAAAUGGAGGAGGAGAGGUUGCUAUCCUGUGUGGAGCCGCACCUACAUUGUAUUUGAGCUCUCAUGUGUUUGGUUCAACUGUAGUGGUCACGAGCCCGAAUUGAAUAAGGUCCAUAUUAGUCCCAGUAGAGAUCAUGUGAACCCACAUGCAAAGGAUACGCCAAACCAUAGAUGUGCUAAUGGGUUAGAUUUGGGUCAGGUUUGAGAUUCAAACCCCGACACUUAAGUUGUUUGUCUUAUUCUAAGCCCCAUUAUUUGGAGAAGUUAAUAUGGUAUCUUUUCAUAUAUACUUAUGGUACUGUUUAACAAGAAUGACCCUUUUUUAUUCAAUCAUGUCAUAAAAAAUGUGGUCUUAUUUGUGACUCACGUGGUGGACCAAUUCUAAGAUAAUAGUUUCAAAAUUAAGUAAUUUUUCGGAUGAAUGGAUUGAAUCAACUCGAGAAAAAGGUAUAUUCGAAUAUGAAUUUGAUAAACUGUCCAAUUCUUUUAUUAUUAUUAUUAUUAUUAUUAUUAGUUUGGUCAAAAAUCUGAUAAUUUGAGGUCGAAUUUGGAUAUGACAUUACAAGGUGAUAUUUUAUAGCAUGAGUGGAAAUUUUCAUGCUUUUGAUCUUUACCUGUAUACUUGUAGGCAUCACAUGUUAUACAUUGCACUCAGCAACAAUCUCAACUAUAAAUGUGAAGGACAUGGACUACGUGACAAAAUAAUUGAUUUUCUCAGUACUAGUAAUCACAUAUUACAAUGUCUUAUAUAUAUCAUGUUAUUAAUGAAGGUGGUACUUUCCCUAUAACUUACAUGACAGGUAUAAGAUUCCAACCAUAAUUUUUUUGUAAAAAAGGAUGCAUUUAACCUAACAAAUCAUCUAAUUAGUUUAGAACCAACAAGCAAAUUGGUACACCAAAGUGAAUCUGAUUUAUUUUGGAAUCACUUUUGGUACUUAAAGGUCUUAUUUAUCAAAUAUAUAUUCUUUUAAAUAAACAUAAUUAUAGGGAUUAAAAGCAAAAGCGAAAAUGAGAAAGUAGAAGCUAGACCAAAAGGCCUUCUCCCUAAAGUGUAAAACAAUACAACCCACAAAUGAAACCUUGCUUUUGCUCAAUUUGCAUUCAUGGCUACUACAAAACAAACUAAAGAAGCAGUGCACCAGACACUUCACAUGGAUUUGGAACGGCUUCUACUUCAAUAUCUGCAGCAACGUGCCAAUGCAACAAGGCGCGCCCAGAAAACUACCCAACAAAUGUUCCCAGAAGCCCAACUUCGCGACAAUGUAAGAAGCACUUGUCGUAUACUCUCUGUGGUGUGGUGUACAAGCGUUCUUGUGAGAGAAAGGAACCAAAGUGUGGAUGGGUUUAUCAGGUUAUAUAUAUGGGCAUGUGCGCGCCCAAAUUUACCCCAAAGCACCAAAAGUGCUUCUUCUUCUUCUUCUUCUUCUUCUUAGAGAGGAAAUUUUUAGAAGCAUAUAUGGCAAUGGAGAGUAAAGUGGGCUUUGUAGUUGCAUGCAUUGUUAUCGUGUUUAUGCUUUUGUCUCAAGAAGGCCAGGUCUCUCUCUCUCUCUCUCUCUCUUAUGUUUUUAAAUUUGGAGGCUCACUUAUCAUGUAAAAUGAGAACACAAAAACAUUUAUACGUGCUGCAUUUUACAUGACUGUGUUUUCGAUAGUUUUCUCUACUUCGAGAUUUUCAUAAUCAAUUUUUUUUUUUUUUUAAGAGAUAGAUAGUACGCUACCCGUUUCGGUUUAUUUUAUUUAGAAAUAAACUUAGCUAGAAAUGUGAAUCAACUAGGAUUCGAACUUGAGUCUCGGAUACCAACUACCAAGCUCUUUGCUACUUGCUCUAGGGACAGUCGGUUCCAUAAUCAAUAAUUAGAACGAGUUUUCGAAUAUGAAAAGAAAAUUAGCUUUAAAAGCUCUAGUUUAAAGACUUCUACUUUUCAGAUAGAAUAUUAAAUGAAAAGACAGGUACAUUUUAGGACAUUCUUUUACUGUAGGUAGUAACACUUACAAAAACCAGAUGGGAGCCAAAUCAGCUGUUUAUAAUUUAAUUUAUACAAAUUUUCGGCCAACAUAGGUCCCUAUACCUUACAAUAUUCAUUUAUAUUGGGAAAAGAAAAAAUAUUCAAAAAGAGGUUUAUUAUAUAUUUAUAUUUUCUUUAAUUUGAUAUACAGGGAAUGCUUAUUGCAAAGCACUGUCCAAGCCCAACUAGUCAACCACCAGCAAUAUCUCCAAGCCCAACUCCGCAGCCUAUCAAAUUCCCCAUGGUAAGACUCCACCAUUCCCGCCAAUACUGUCUGUCACGACAUCUCGGCACUGUCUGCUAGCAGAGUUGAUAAGAUAUAUAUAUAUUUUCUAAGGGCAAUUGCUUAUAUAUUUUUGAAAAGUUUUUGACUUUUUGAUUUACCCCUUUUAGAAGACUAAUAUUGAAAAUACUGUUCCAACCUAUUUCUAAUAUACCCCUAGAGUUAAAAUCUGUUAAUUAACUUAACUCUGUAAAAUUACUAUUUUACCCUUUCAAAUAUACCCUUCCACUAUCACUGACUUUCUUAUUUGCCUUUAAAGUCAGGAGCGCAGAAAGUAUUUUGACUUUUAGUCUUUUCCAAUAUACCGCUCUACCGUUACCAACAUUUUUUAUUUGCUCUUAGUUAAGGGCAAAAUUGAUAUUUUAUUUUUUUUAAACUACGGUAGAUGUUUAACUCACGUUUAACUCAAGUUAACUUAACAGGAGAUAACCGCGGAGGUAUUUUGUAAUAACGGUGAAACAUAUGAAGGAUAUUUUAGAAAGAAAAUAAAACAGGAAUAAAUCGGAUAUUUUCAAACGUAUGAGAAGUAUAUAGACAAUUAUUCUUAUUUUUUAUUACUAUAAAUUUUCAAAAUAUGCAAGUUAUUCCCUCGACUAUCUCUACAUUAUAGUCAAAGAAAUUAGAGAAAAAGGAAAGAACAUAUAUCUAACUAAACUCCUAACAUUGUUUGAUUGCAGUAUGGAGUCACCCCAGGAAGCCUCCACCCACAAGGUCACAUAUAUUACUCCUUACUUAAAACUUUCCCUUCUCCCUAUCUUUCUCAAAUUUCUCUAACAAUUGUAUCUCCUCUCGCCUCGCAGAGUGCCCCGACCGCUGCGCGGGCCGAUGCUCCGCGACGGCCUACAAGAAGCCCUGCAUGUUCUUCUGCCAAAAGUGCUGCGAGAAAUGCCUCUGCGUGCCGCCCGGCACGUACGGCAACAAGCAGUUCUGCCCUUGCUACAAUGACUGGAAGACCAAAAGAGGAGGGCCAAAGUGUCCUUAAAAAAGAUCUCUCUUUGCUUCCUGCACAGCAUAAUAAUAUGUUUCUUACUAUAAAUGCAGCUGCAGAGCCAACAUGUUGUUGUGAUUCUGAUUUCAAAUUUGGAUGCUGAGAUUACUGCUCUGUAUGAUAUUAGAUCAGAUAAGUAAGCGAAUCAUCAUGUUCUUUUGGAUAAAAAUGAAUGGUACCAAUGCGUGCCACUGCAUUUUAUUUAUGUCUUGGAAUAUUAAAAAGUCUGAAGUCCAAACACGAGACAUACUCUAAAAAUUUCUUAAAUUACACUAUAUACGACUAAUCAUAUCUUGGAGUUUCAUUGGAGAUAAGAACUUUAUUCUGUAGCUAUUGUGCAAUUGAACUUUAAAUUUUGUUGGCGUAUUUCAUUUGCAUUUGCUAACAAUGUGCUGAUGUGAUAAUUAGUUUAGCUGCUAUAUUAUCUAUAAAAAAAUGAUACCAUGAUAAAAUGACAAUAAUUCAGUCAAAGUCUGUUAAAGGUAGGAUUCAUUAAUAGUUGAUGAAAAGAUUUUAUCCAGUUUAUCAGAGAUUUCAUCAAAUAUUAACAAUUUUAAUUACAUGUUACGUAAUAAAAUUAUCACAAUUAGUAAAAUUGAGGGGUGUAUUUCAAAAUACCUAACAUUUGAGGGGUCUCCAUACAUUUCUACCUUUUCCUUUUCUUAAUUUUCCGAUAAAUUGGAAAAUAUUUUGAGUAAAAAGUAAACUUUUCGAAAAAAAAUUCGAAGCACAAGCGAGCGACGAAAAUGGCGGGCUAACCCCAAUCAAGACGCCUCUCUCGUCUCCUCUUCCUCCUCCGCUUCUUCAAAACCCUAGAAUCUCGAUCGUUCCCCCCUUCACCAAUCGAUCCCCUCCAAAACCCUAAUUCCCUCCCCCUCUAUCCCUUCCUCACCCCUCGGAUGGAUCCCAACCCCCCCGUACGCUGCGUCGACAACGAGGAGGUCGCGCUUUAUCUGCGGAGGAAGCGCCAGGAGAUGGCGGAGAAUCCCAAUGGCUUGUCGGAGAACCUCGACAUGACUCUCUCCACCGCAUAUCGCAACAUCUGCAGCGCCAAAACCCCAAUCAAAACCCUCAAGGACUUGUCGCAGAUCAAGUAACAUCCAAAAUCAACGCUUUAAUCUUUCUUUUUCUUGGCUAAAAAUAAAAAAAAACAACCCUAUGAUUUCACACUCUUUCUCGGCAUAUAAUGCGGUUUAUAUCUAAACAUCUAUUUAAGUUGGAGUCUACAUAACAGAUGUGAAACGAAAGAAAAGAUAUCCUUUUUCUACUAGAAUCAACUCAAUUUGUAGUUUAUUUGACAAUUUAUUCAGUUUAUGAGAGUCCUUUCCAUCAAGUAUAACUAAUAGAGUUGUUCAAAGCCCCAAUCAAGAACCUAAAAGACCUAUCAGAGAUCAAGUGCGGCAAAAUCUCUCUCUAUUAACCCAAUCUGAGUUCCUUUUCUUUUCUUUAAAAUUAACCCUUUGGAUGGUUAUUGGUUGAAUUUUAUAUUGUGAUAGGGGCGUUGGCAAAUGGAUCUUGAGGCUCAUGAAAGGGUUCUUCCCAGAGAUUAGCUCUGAUGUAUCUCCUUCUAAAGAACCGGUUCAGCAAAAGGGUAGUUCUUGUCUGUCUAGCUUAUUUAGUUAUUGGAUGAAUCCAGUCGAGAAAGUUGUUUUUUUUUUUUUUUUUUGAGAAAAUGAUAUGUUGAUUAGGAAAGAAGACGAAAGGACCGAAAGUACCAAAAGGACCAAAGCGUUAUCUACCACAAAAGAACUCAGUAGCGUAUGCGUUAUUGAUCACCCUUUACAGGUGUAAAUUGUGUCUCAUGCCCUUAAUUGCUGUCUGUUUAUUGCUUGAAACUAAGCUUUUAUUCUUUGUCUUAUUCCUUUUUUUUAAAUCGUUUUCCCUUUAGAGCAAUGGCAAAUGGGAGUGGUUUUAUGAAGAAGCAGGAGCUUAUUGAUGCUGCUGAAGCUAGUGGGCUUUCACGUACUUCAAUUGCGUGAGUGGUUCUUUUAGUUUUUACUAGUUUGACAUUGCAAAUUAUUAUAUGGUUUACUUAGUGUAUUUUUCUAUCUUUUCUUGUGGUCGACAGGCUAGAUAAGAGUAAAGGAAAACCCGGGCAAUUUGGGAGUUCACCGAGGGAUUGGUACACUGGAUGGAGCUGCAUGAAGACAUUAAUAUUGAAAGGAUUAGUAGUCAAAUCUAGCUGCCCAGCAAAGUAACAUAUCGUAUUCUUUCUUUUUUUUUUUGUAUUUCUCAUCCGCUUCUUACUACAUUUUGUUAAUUUCUUUAGAUAAGUGGUGAUGUGUAUAAAAUAAUGUGCACUAAUAACUCUGUGAGGUAUAGCUCUUCAGGGAGGCAUAUGCGAUCUUCCUUGGUUUUUCUAUUAAAUUUUACAUGAUCUUGUUAUAUUACAAUUCUCUGAAGAACUUGGAGAUACGUUGUAAUGGCUUUUUGCAAGAACUGAACAUAAUGUACUGAUGAAUCUUUCAUGCUGUUGCUCAUAGCCAGUAUAAUUGAUGAGACAAUAAUUUUGUUGCAUAAGGCUCCAAAAAUUGAUGUCACUAUGAAUUAAUGGAAGAGCACCCAAGAGAUUCUUGAAAAGGCUUCAUACAGAAUAUAAUUUUGUCAAUAUCUACUGUUUAAAACUUAUAAACUUGAUAAGUGCAUGUACAAGCUUCCCAUUGUUGCGCAUUAUUCUAUAGCUUGAUACAAGUGAGUCGAGUGUAGUGUUUAGAUGGCUAACUAUUAAAACAGUUUGGACACCAGCUCUUUAUGCCAUAUUAGUAGUUUUUAGUUUGAUUACUCUGGUAAUCCAUGGUUUUUUUUUCUAAAUCUUAUGCAAGUGUUUGGCAGUCCGAAAAUGCUAGGCAAUGUGAUCCCAUUAAUAUCCCCAUGUUGUUGGAUGGAUAGAAAAGAAGUAUUAAAAAAAUCAUUCUGAUCAAACUUGCUACUGCUAUAUUUAAAUAGCAAAUUCCCACAGUCAUCUCCUUUUUAGGCAUGAACUACUUGGCGACAAAGCUUAUGUUAAUGCCCUCAGUUAUUUUUUGAAUAAAACCAGAUAUUAAACUUUCUUUCUGAUCUCUUUUUUAUUUCAUUUGUAUUUCAUCUUUACUGCUUUAAUAUCAGUAGAGUACCUAUUAUUGUCUCUUGCUUCAUUGCCUUUCAAUUGUCUUACUUUUUUGUUUUGUUUGGGGCCUCAAUAACGUGUAAUACCUGAUUCUGAGUAGGUAUAUGCUAACCCAAGAAGGGCAAGACGCUGCACGUGAUUGCCUCUCAAGAUCUGGGUUAGGCGAUCCUUCUGGAAACUUGACUCUAGAUGGUGGAUCUGAUGAUUCUCUAGAAAGGCGAGGUUCUGCUAAUUCAGAACCUGUAUCUUGUGCUUCAGCUCAUCAUGAGAUGAUGUUGGGGUCGGUGGAUUUAAGCUAUCAAGUGAAGCUAAGUGACAUCACAAAUGUUGUUGCAGAGAGGGUAUCCUGAACAUUCCAUAUUCUCUCAUUAGAAGUCGAACUUGAAAUAUGAUUAUAUUGGAUCUUUGAUACUUUACUGAUAUCUUGAUCUUUGUUUCUAUAUACAUAUGCGUAUCUGUCUGUUUAUCUCCCUAAGUUCCCGCACCCUUUAUUUAUAUAUCUCUGUGUAAUAAUAUGAAGUUUUGACUGCUAAGUUGUGAGUAGAAUAGUCUCAAACUCAUUUUAAUUUUAAUUUUGCUUCCUUGUAACUGUGUCUAUAAAUCUCUAUAUCCCUACAUCCAUGGAUUUAGGAUUGAUCUUGCAAGAGUUUAGGUUUUUAACAGUUUGCAUGUUGGUAUUAUCAGCGCAUCAAAUGUUUCCAAAAUUAGGUUCUUCAUUACUGUUUCUACAGGUAUUUCCUGUAGGAAAUUUUGUAUAUUAGCUUUGGAAAUCUUGUAGAAGUUCAAAUUAGAGACUGUGGAGUGUGGAUUGGCGACCUCCCUAACUGUUGGUAUUUCAAAAAAGAUUCCUCUAAUUAGAUUUCCACAGUUUACAUGUUGUUUUAUUAGUCAAUAUAAGAUGUUGAAUGUUUCCGAAGGCUUAUAGCUGCAGCAGUUCUCACCACUUGUAUCUCUAUUUUGCAGAACCUUCAAAUUGGACAGGCUGGCCCAUCUUACUCUGACUCUGCAGAAUUCAGUGGAAAGAAUCGUUCUUCAUUGUUGAUUGCACGAUCCUCUGUAGAUAUUGGUAUGUAUUUCAUGCAAUAUGUUGUUCCCAAAGAAAUACAGAAAUACAAGUCGAUCUAAAGAUCUUAGGCCCUGACUGAGGUUCCCUUUGGCAGACGUGCUCUUUGAGUAGAGCUAAAGGGAAAGGCACGAAUAUUUUUGUCAUCAAAUUUUACCAGAAGAGCUUCCGCUUCAGUAGAAGCAGAGGCUUGAAAAUGGAACUACUGCUUCUGGGGUGUAGAAGCCCAUUCUUGCUAAGCUAAAAGCUCUAUACUUCUUGUUUGCCAAAUGCAUGGGUGUUGCUUUUUGUAACACAGAAGUUGUUCCAAAAGCUAGGCCUUGGCCAUAAGUUUGUGACGGGUCACUAUAUUUUUAGUUAAAAUUUGGCUGUUUAGGUUCAAGCAAGAGUUCUAAGUAUGAUCAUUUUGCUGUAGAUUGCUCAGUUCAGGUUUCUGCUGAUUCAGCUCGGUGCUCAUCUCAUCUGCGGGCUUGUAGUUCAUUUGUAUGUUUGCCUUUGUUGAGAUUUUGAUUUCUCUCUAAAUUAUGGACUAGAAUAUUGCAUACUUUGAUUUUAGAAAGCAUCAAAUAAUUGAGAAAAUUCUAAUUUGGAAUCAAACAUCUUUUGAAUAUACAGGGUUCUCCAGCAGACAGAACAUCUUGUAAGGACAUUACUGAUGGGGAUAUCAAUUUACUUGCUAUGCCUCCUUGUAGAGCUGGGGAGAAAUUUGAAAAAACCUAUGAUGUUAUUUUGAUAUUGGACGAUCGUGAAAACUUUGGGUCAGUAUAGCAAAUUGAAGAUGCUAGUAUAUCAUAGUGGAAGAACAUAUUGAUAUAUGCUCAUUCCCGUUUUUUCCAUUUCAUCAUGAAUUGGUGGAUAUGAGACCGCGAGUUCAGGCUUCUGCAUCAACUAUGAAAGGAGUUUUUCUUGUGAUGUACUUACAUGCAAGAAGUGUUUUUUUUAGAGAUUCUCGAUAGUGCUACAAGUUUGUUUUAAUUCCUAGAUAUCCGUUUAUCUAAUUCACUAUCAACGCUUUCAUUGUUGUGCCUGUUUGAAUGUCUAAUUAAUAGCAUGUAUGUCGUCUGGAAAAUCAUUUCUCCAAAAUAUUAUCAUCUUUAUGCACCAAUACUAUGCGUAUCCUUAUUUCUGCAAUGAAUUCUCAAAUGUAAGUAACUCAGCAUGCUCACUUUUUCCUUAUAUUUUCAGGUCUCGUUCAAGAAAAGUUGUAGAUAAUAUACGCUCCCAAUUUGGUAUUUUUGUAGAGGUUAGUAAUCUAUUUUAGAUUAAUGUAAGUGCUGUUUCUAAUACUUUUUUUUUGGCAAUUUGUUAUUGUUUUUGUCAUUAGGUUUUUUAACUUGGUACAUGCCUGGUGAGUGCUGAAUACAACUAAAAAGAGAAAUGAAGUACUACUAGUCUAGACACCAUUCACUUGAGUGCCUGGUUUUACCAGCUUUGCAGUUUAUGUUUGAAACACUGGGUGUAUAAGUUUUAUUAAUAUGUAUUCUCAUAUUAUAGUGCAUUUCCAACUGUUUUAUACUCUGUAUUGAGUGUUGUAUUACAUCACAAUGCGACAGGUUAGACGCUUGCCUGUUGGAGAUGGAAUUUGGAUUGUUCGACAUAGACAACUGAACAAGGAGUAUGUUCUUGACUUUAUUGUUGAAAGGAAAAAGGUUGAUGAUCUAUGCAGCUCGAUUAGGGAUAACCGAUAUAGAGAUCAGAAAUUGAGGUUACAGGUAUUGAUUCUUAGCAGUUGUUUCAAUAUCACAGUUUGUUUUCAGCUCCUGUUCAUAUUUGGAGGUUAAGGUUAUACUGUCAUCUAUAGUUAAACUUUUAUUUUCCUAUACACUUACUAUCAUUAGUUGCGUGGACGUUCAACUAGCUUUAGUGAUAAUAUAUGUGCUUCAAUUGUCUUUUACAUCUUUCUCCUUGUUCUGUCAAGCUUUGUGAGUUUAUGAUAUAAUUGCCAUUCUGUGUUCGUGUCUGCCUCGCUACUGUAAUUCUGUUAAAUGUUUACUCCGUAAUUUGCGUAGAGAUGUGGACUGAGCAAGCUGAUAUAUCUUGUUGAAGGUGACCCAAAUUCCCUGGAAGCUGCAGAAAGUAUUAAAACAGCGUAUGCACAUUUCACAGUUAUUUUUGUUGUCCGUUUUCAAAUUUUGAUCCUUUUGGAAGUCGUCUGUCCAUUAAAACAAUUAAAUUUUCCUUUUUUCUUUUUCAUGAAAUUGAUGUUUUGUUUGUAUUUCAAGACAACGUAAGAUUGAAAAUGUACUGUUUCUUAUUAAGAUUAUGCUUGUGUGUUCUCUCAGCUGCUUCACCACAGAGAUCUUAGAAGGAUUUGAUGUGCAGAGGACUAGUGGUUUUGCAGAUACUAUAAGGAAAUAUGGUUACCUUACGCAGUCAAUAACACAAUAUUACAGUACACACCUCUCUUAUGGGUCUCGAAGAUCAAGAGUUUGCCCCUCGUUUGAUGAGUUUGUUAAGAAGUGUCAUGAUCUUGAGAAGAUGACAGUUAGUGAUGUAUUUGCACUCCAACUCAUGCAGGUGACUCUCCCUACUAAACGAAGCAUUCUACCUAACACUCAGUCUACUCCGCCGACGAUCUUCUUUUGGGGAUUUGGCAAACACAUCCAUUUUUUUGCGAUUUUCCGAUACUGCUGCACUUUUUUGUUUUUCAAAUUUUGGACUGAAUUGCAUUCCUUCCGACCUCUCCUUGUGAUGAAAUUUGUUUGGAUAUUUCCAUCAGUGCAUCUUGUCCACUGAAAAGACAUCUCAUUCCAGAGUAGCAAAAAUUUAACCAGGGUUGCAAAAAUAAAAACUUUUGGAUUUAUUUGUAAAUACCCUUUUCUAUCUCUUACCCCACGACAAAAUUCUCUGAGUUCAUGUGACAAUAUAAAUGUUGGUUUCUGCAGGUCCCACAAGUUACAGAAGAGAUUGCACUUGCAGUUAUAGCCAUAUAUCCUACCCUUUUAUCACUUGCUCAGGCCUACUCCCAGUGUGUGAGUACUCUCUCUUUCACUAACUAUUCAAUGUCUUCCUAAACUAUGAACCUUUAGGUAGUGUUGGUUGGAGGAUUUUGCCGUAGGGAUAAGAUAAAUAUUUAUGAUGUGAACUCUAGUUUGAGCAGUUAUAUCCUAUUCUGUUUGCUCGAGAUGUUGAAGACUGCCUAGAAUAACUAGCUAUUUACCUUGCUAUCACGAUUCCACCCAAUCAUUUGGAAAUGUUGUACAUGGAAUAAUUCUUCUGCCAGAUUCUAGGUAGGAAUUCCGACUUGGGAAAAUUGCGGGAAUUCCAUUUCUGCGUAACUCUCAUUUUUAUCUUCCAACCAAACACUAGUUAAGAAGGCAUUUUUCAAUUGAUUGAAUUAGCAAUAAUUUCUCAUGCUUGCAUUAUUGAAGGAAGGAGAUGUUCGUGCCCAGGAGGAGAUGUUAAAGAACAAGAAUGCGAAAAUAAGUGGCGUUGCUAGUAGAAACAUUUUUAAGCUGGUAUGGGGAGCUUGAUAAUAUAUCCACUGUUUGAUGCGCGAAAGAUGUUUCAAUCUCCAGUAACAUUCAAAGUCAGCAGCUCGAUGACUUACAUAGUUAUUAGAAAGCUCUUCUUUUGCUAACUGAUACAGUUUAGGCUUUGUAUUACUGCAUGCCUUGCGCCGACGAAAGCAGAUUGAUUUUGGAUGGUUUAAUCAUCAAAAAAAAGAGGAAAAAGGAAGUGGCAAUGUGUAUCUUCUUUCCCUUUUCUCCCUUAAGAUCAUGGUGCUCCUCUUAAGUUAAUACUAUGUUUAUUGCUUCUCUUGUUGUAUUUGUACACUUGGACUAUCCACCCUGUUAAUGUUAAAUCCGAUGAGCUGCUGUUGUUACUAUUUUUAGCUUUGCUUUGGCAAAAUUUUUGUUGAUUAUUCAUUUUAACAAAUGUAAUUUUGUUUUUCCGAGCACAUUAUGAAAGAAAGCAUCUAUAAUAUAGUGAGAUACUUGAUAUAAAGCAGAGGUAACAUUUUUCACUUUCCAGCAUGAAGUGGAAUUAGUUUUCAAAUUUUAGUUUUUUUUUUUAGUAUUUUGAUUUAUAAAAUAUCAAGCGUACUGUUGUAGAUUUCGUAAAAAGAUGCUUGUCUCUGUAUGAUGCUCAUGAUGUAUACUUUUGAUUGAUUUAUUUACACAGUUUAAAUACUUAAAUAAAAAUAGUAAGUGUCUCUUCAAACAGGCCAAUUAAGCACGCACCACCUACCCAUCGGUACAAAACGUCGAACGUUGUUUUCCUGAAACUUUUGUUUUCUUUUUCUAAAAAAAUCUAAAUCCCUGAUGAGAAAACAAAAAAGACAAAAGGGGUGAAAACAAGUGAUCCACAGCUCCUUCCAACAGUCCAAACGAGAACAACAAACUUACUAAAAAAAAGAACAAAAAAAAAAAACUUCAAAUAUACUCAUAUGAUUUCGCAUUUUCUUACUUUAGUACCCUAUGAUUUAGAGUGUAUCAAAUUAGUAUUUUAUGAUUUUAUUUUAUUUUUUUCGUUAGCUCCUCUGUUAAUAUUUUGUUAAAUUAUAUACAGAAAAAUUUCAGAUACCCUACUUAGAUUUAUCGAAUAUUCACUUUAGUACUAUUUAGUUUUAACUUUGUCACUGAUUCGACGAAAGAAAAUUAGUGAAAUGGAUAAUAAAAAGAAAAAAAUAAAAUUUUAUGGUACUAAAUUGGUAUAUUUUAAACUACAGAAUAUUAAAUCAUUUCUCUUUUUUUUUUUCUUUUUAUUUUUUUAGAGAAAACUUUAAAUAUCACUUUUGUGGUUUCACACUUUCUCACUUUAAUAUCCUCCGCAUCUGUUCGCUCAACAACACUCGUGCGGUGUUCUAAACCCUAAACCUUCCCCAAUUUGGCGGGAAAUUUGCAAAAAAAAAAAAAAAAAAAAAAAAAAAAAAAAAAAACCCCAACAAAAAAAAAAAAAAAAAAAAAAAAAAAAAAAAAAAAACCCUCCCCCAAUCACGCUUUGAAAAUCGUACGGCGGUGGGAAUAGGGAAUGUGGGGUGGCGGUGGAGGUGGAGGUGGAGGUGACGAUGCUGCUUUUAAGCAUGGCGACGUGGGCAAGAAAACAACUACACAUCUCUGAAGCGACUUCUCCUCUCCUUUACCCCACAAAACUCCAACCCACUCUUCUACCUGUCUCCAUUUACACCUCCUUCCCUUAUUCUCCAUCCACAUCUACCUCCCCUCUGUAUUUUGUGAAACAAACAAACAAAAUUAAUUAAAGAUAUAAUAAUAAUAAUAAUAAUAAUAAUAAUAAUAAUGGGAAUAGGUUAAUAAUAGAGUUCCGGCUAUAAUACUUUUAAAAGCACUAAGUACUUGAUGCUGAUAAAUGUUCUACCGUUACAUAUAUUUCUUUGACCAUAGUGCUUGUAAGUUUUCUGCCGUUAGAUUUAUUUUAUUGAUCAUUUUCAAUACUAAAAUACUACUAUUAUCCUAACCGUACAUUCUUUGAUCCAAGGACCGAAAACCUACAAAUACUUUUAAAAGUAUUGGAGCUCAAUUCAAGUUAAUAUGUAUUUUUACGGAGUAAGAAUAAGUAAAAAAAAGUAAAAAUGUAUAGAAAUUAUCUUAACUAAAAUUAAAGUUUUGAAAGAGUUGAUAGUCUAAUCAAAAAAAUUAAUUGCUCAGUUAACUUUUAUACGUUUUUACCUGAAGAAAAUUCAUCUCACUAGUUGAUGCGAGCCGAGAAGUUUGAAUCUCACUGGAGGUUGUUGGCGUGUUUUAAAAUGUUCCGCUUAGAUUCGAAAUCAGAUUAUCACCUCUAAAUAAUUUAUAUACUAUUAGAGAUCAAAAUUUUCAGUCUAUAAUUAUAUCCUAGUAAUUGUGAUACUCGAAAUUAUUUCACGUGUAAGGUAAUUUACUGUAUUGUAAGAUAGAUAAUUUAGUAGCUGUUGAAUAAACAAACACAAGAACAAUGAUUUGUGUUUAUAGUUUCUAUUGGUCGAUUAUCAUAUACCUCUAUACCACAUUGUGGACAACUUUUAUAUUAUUCAUAACAAAACUAUGACAUAAUCCUUGAGUAAAUAAAUAAAAGAUGUAUUCUGUAUCCUAUAUUCAUUUAUUAGAACAGGUAUGUUGCUAUUAUUUAACUAGUGUAUAAAUUUACGUACACUUUAACUAUUUAUACGUACAUGUUGUUUACGACAAAAUAAGUGAAACCGUACUUUUUUGAGCCUAAAAAAAGUGGCACGUCACUCGCUUUCUCUCUCUUUCUCUUUUUUCUCUCUCUACACUAAAAACAAAAAUCUCUCUCUCUCUCCUUAAAUAUUAAUAAGAGAAAUUUGGGGUAGAGAAUCUAACACGUUUCAUGCAUGCUUCUACCAUAAAGAUUGUGGUGACCAUGGUUGUACCUCACUCUUGCGUAUCCAAAAUUGAACUAUCAUAUUAAUCCCAAUAAAUGUCGUCCUUUGUAAAAUCUUUAAAUAUCUUUGAUCUUUAAUUUUAACGGCACCCGCAUACGUAUGUGUUAUUCAAAUAUCAGAAACUAUAUAUAUAUUCAUCACUUUAAAUUUCAAAUACGUGCACAAAUUCUACUUAUCAUUUAGACGGAAUGGCUUCAGUACACCCUUCAUUCUAUCUGUAAAUACUAAUGAGAUACAAUAUAUAUAUAUAUAUAUAUAUAGAGCUAGAAUACUUUUAAAAGUAUUAUUCCAUUAGUGCUUCAAUAUUUUUGCUUUGAUAACUAGGAAACUGAAACUAUUUCAGUCUUAUUGUUUGUUUGCUGGGAGCAAAUGACGUAAAAGUUGAAGUUAAAAUUAAAGUAAAAUUAUAUUAUUGUUUUUUUCUCAUUUUCUUUUGUAAUUGAUAUCAGCUCGAGAUGAGUCAAGGUCAAUUACGGUAUUUAGGAACAUUUAAGUUUCGAUCAAAAGUGAAAGUAUGUGGAACAAACUAUAAAAACGAAUAUUUAUGAUUAAAGAUUAUUUCACUAUCACUGACCGUCCCUAGAACAAGUGGCAAAGGACUUGGUAGUUGGUAUCCGAGACUCAAGUUCGAAUCCUAGUUGAUUAACAUUUCUUGCUAAGUUUAUUUCUAAAUAAAAUAAACGAAGCGGGUAGCGUGUUGACUAUCUCUUAAAAAAAAAAGAAAAAAAAAGAAGAUUAUUUCACUAUCUUUUUUUGUUUUUUUUGAGAAAAAGACAACAUACUACCCGCUUCGUUUAUUUCUUUUAGAAAUAAACUUACUGAAAAUAUGAAUUAAUUAAAAUUUAAAUUUGAGAUAUCGAAUAUCAAUCACAAAAAUUUUUGUCACUUGUGCUCGAAACGGUGGGCACACUGCCUUUUAUUUUCAGUGAAACAAACACAUUGCUUUGUAUAAUUGUAUUGUCACAAACCCAUAAGCCCAAAGAAAAGGCAAAAAAUAGUGUCACAAUUCUAAACAUACUAAAAAAAGGUCUCUCUCUCUCUCUCUUUCUCUCUCUCAUGGUUUAAUUUGAGUUUGAGGAGGGGGUAUUAAAUUAAGUUGGGCCCCCUCCUCUACACCCCCAUUUUGUCCUCUUCCCAAACCUCCUUGUCUCUUUGUCUUCAAACCUCAAGGAUAAGAACACUCUCCAUGAGCUAAAGGACAAAUGGAGGAGGGUUAAUUUGGACUCAUUCAUGGGGUGGGUGGUGCUCCUCCUCUUCUUUCCCCACACCCCCAUCUCACCCCCCAUAGGAAAAAAACAAAACAAAAAACCAUGAGCACUGUUGUUUUGUUUCUGUUAGGGCAUUGUUGUCUCCUUCUCUGGAUAAGGAAUAACGAGGCCAACCCCCACUUUAUUCCCCCAUCUGCCCACUUCCCAACACACCCAAACUAUAAAAAUUAAUAAAAGAAAGAAAAAAUAAAAACUAGUUGGGGAAACUAACACACACAUAUCCUCAUGUUUGUGUUAAUUUGUCACACUUUAUAAGGUGCUACUUAAAAAAAAAAAAGAUAUUAAUCGUUCAUAACUUAUCUGAACUGUAGAACAUUUUGAGUCCGAGUCGGCUAUUUAAUCGUUAAAAAAUUGGAUGGUAAAAUUAAGAUAUUGAAAGGUUGGACAAUCGACUGAAAAUUAUCUACAAUUCAUAAUAAUUAAAUUACGUAUCAUUUUUAAAAAAAAUUAAUUUAAUAUAAAAUUAUCUAAAAAUAGUCAUAUUGUGCAUAAUAAUUGAAAAGGUAAUCAUAUAAUAAAGCUAGGAGCUUGACAUUACUCGAACUCAGAUUUUUUUUUUUUUGAGAGAUAGAUAGCACGCUACCCUCUUCGUUUAUUUCAUUUAGAAAUAAACUUAGCUGAAAAUGUAAAUCCACUAGAAUUCGAACUUGGGUCUCGAGUACUAACCACCAAGCUCUUUGUCAUUUGCUCUAGGGACGGCCAGUGAUAUUACGUAAAACAACCAUUAUAGUCUAAAAGCCUUAACUAUUAGAAAAUAGUAUUUAUAUAUCACAAUUACAUUCUCCUAAAAAUAUCUCUGUUAUCGCUAAUAUGUUAGCUGGUAUGUAUUGUACGAACUAAUUUAUUAUGUUUUUCAUCAGAGUAGCCUAUAUUGAAGUAGCACGCCACAAGCAAUUUGAAACGUGUACACGCAUAAAAUAGGGUCAUGUUUUUUAUGCGUAAUUUAGUAACACAGGGUAAUCAAAAGAUGUUAAAAAAGAAAUUACAUAACAGUGAAGUUGGAAUUAUCUUAAACACAAGUAUCAAUUAAAACAACUCAAAUGUUAAUACUUACAUAUAAAUACACACACACAUAUAUAUAUAUAUAUAUAUAUAUAUAUAUAUAUAUAUUCCUUAGCACUCCCAAACAGACGCCAAAGGCAAAAGGGGACAAAAAAGUGAAGCCCUUUUUUUGUCUUCGACCCCCACAAGAGCCAAAGAGUGCUCUCCCUUUCAAUCCCCCACCCCCACCUCCUUUGCUGUUACACUGACCCUCCUCUCCUGCAGCUCUGCUCUCCCCCAGAGCCUUUCCUGGAGAGUAAAAUAGCCUAAACUGAAUAAACUCUUUCUUUAAGAGUGGGUGCAGAGAGAGAGAGAGAGAGAGAGAGAGAGAGAGAGAUCAGAGAUCAGAGAUCAGAGAGAGAGAGAGAAGUUUAAUUUGGUUGCAUAUCUUAAUUAGCACAUCUUGAAGAGGGAGUGACUGACUGAGAGAACUCCUGAUCUUAUUACUCUCCCUUGUAUAUUCAGGUGAGCUCUCUCUUUUUGGAGUCUUAUUAUAUAUGGGUGUUGGAUGAGCACCCACCCAGUUGGAGUUUUUGGGCUUAUGAUUAUUAUUGUUGCGAUCUCCACAAUCAAAUUAAAACCCAUUGAUUCGACCACAUACGCAUGUACCCUGUUCUCCCGUUUUCUUUCUCCUGUCGUUUUUGAGAAGAUUGGUAGAAAAUCCCGUCUCCUGUUCUCUCCUGUUCUAAAAGCCCAAAAACUUGGGCUCUUUUAAAGAACAAAAGAAAAAAAUUUGGGGUUCAAUGUCUCCGAAACGCAUGAACUUGGUAAUGUUCAUGCGCUCGUCCCCGCUGUCGAACUCUUUUGUAGAACUGUUUCUUCCUUCUACUUAUAGCCUUCUAUAAAUAACUCUUCUUCUUCUUCUUCUUCUUCCGAAUCAUCUCAAGGGCCCAUUAAUCUCUCCUAAAAGCACAAACUUGGUAGUUGAUGAUGAUGAUGAUCAUCAUAGGGUAAUAAAAUACCCAAAAUUAGCAGUUCCUUUAAUUAGCAGUUCGAUCCCCGAUCGAAUCUCCGCCGCUGCGGCGGCGGCGUCGGCGGCGUUAUGGUUCAGGACGAUGGGUCGUCGUCGUCCUCGGCGACGUCGUCCUCGCCGCUCCAGAGCUUCUCCCAGAUGACGCUGUCGCCCACGGCCGCCGGGGCCGGGGCCGGGGCGUGGGUCGGGGAGCUGCGGUCGGAGGAGCGGGGGCUGUACCUGAUCCACCUGCUGCUGAACUGCGCCCACGAGGUGGCGGCGGGCGCCCUGGAGCGCGCGUCGGCGCUCCUCGACCACGUCUCCGCCCUCGCCCACCCCUCCGGCGACCCCAUGCAGCGCCUCGCCACCUCCUUCGCCGACGCCCUCGCCCGCCGCGCCCUCCUCCGCUCCUUCCCGGGCCUCCUCCGCUCCCUCUCCCCCUCCGCCCCCCCUCCCCCCGCAUCGUCGUCGUCGUCGUCGUCCUCGUGGCCGUCAUCGACCCCGGCGCUCCGCCACUUCUUCAGGCUCUGCCCCUUCCUCCCCCUCGCCGCCGCCCUCUCCAACCACGCCGUGGCGGCGGCCAUGGAGUCGGAGCGCGUGGUCCACGUCGUCGACCUCCGCGCCCCCUCCGACCCCGCCCCCGCCGGCGACCUCCUACCCUCCUGGCGUCCCGGCCCGGCGGGCCCCCGCACCUCCGGCUGACCGCCAUCCACCCCGACCCCGACGCCCUCGCCCUCCUCGCCUCGUCCCUCUCCAAGGAGGCCGAGCUCCUGGACGUCCCCUUCCAAUUCCACCCCCUCCUCUGCCCCGACCUCCGGCGCCUCGACCUGGAGUCCCUCAAGAUCAAAUCCGGCGAGGCCCUGGCCGUGACCUCGACCCUGGCCCUCCACUCCCUCCUCUCCUCCUCCGAGUCCCUCUCCUCCUUCCUCUACUCCCUCCAGCGCCUCCGCCCCAAGGUCCUCGUCCUCGCCGAGCAGGAGGCCGACCACAACGGCCCCACCCUCGUGGCGCGCUUCGUCGAGUCGCUCAACUUCUACGCCGCGCUCUUCGACUGCCUGGAGUCGGCCGCCCCCCGCCACUCCCCCGAGCGCGCCGCCGUGGAGCGCCUGCUGCUGGGCGAGGAGAUCCGCAACAUCAUCGUCUGCGACGGCCCCGACCGCACGGAGCGCCACGAGAAGUUCGACCGCUGGGCCCGCCGCCUCCACGCCGCCGGCUUCUCCCCCCUCGCCCCCUCCUUCCCCGCCCGCCGCCUCCUCCACGACUUCCGCUGCCACGGCUGCAAGCUGCGCCACGACGACGCCUGCCUCUUCAUCUGCUGGCAGGACCGCCCCCUCUUCUCCGUCUCCGCCUGGACUUGCCGCCGCUUAAUCGAUUGACUACUUGACUACUACUCAAUCACUACUCAUCUCCUCUCUAUCUAUCUAUCUAUCUUUCUAUCUAUCUUCUUCUUCCAAACAAGAAAGAUUAGAGAUAGGUAGUAGUAGGUCCUGCAUGUGUAGUUCUUCUUUUAAUAUAUUUUUUAACCUUAACUUACUUAGGCUAGCUAGCUUUUAUUAAUUUGCUGGUCUCUGUUCUUUUUUCUUUUUUUCUUUGUUUCUUUUUUCUUUUUUUUUUGGCUAGGCAAUGCUGUGUAUAUAUCCUCUUGCUCCACCUCUACUAAUGCAGCGAUGCAAUGUGCUCUUGCAAAAAGAGACCUCUCUCUGUAUGUGUGUGUGGUUUUAACCCUUGUUAAUAUGUUAGCCAGUGAUCCAUCUCUUUCCUUUGCAGACCUCAUUCCACUGCAGAGAAUUUGAGCAAAAAGAAUGAAAACUUGCAAGCAUAGAAAUUAGCAAGAGAUUUUUUUUUUUUUUUUUUUUUUUGGGCCUUCGUAUCAAUCAAUCAUGGUUCAUCUUCUAUGAGGGAAACUGACACUUCAUUACUGCAUUUGUCUCAACGGGACUAAAAAUAAAAAACACUUGUUGUGAUGUGUCAUAGCCUUUUCUCUUCUAGCAUUAUUGCUGUGCUGGAUCAUAAUAGUGCCCAUUUUUGGUGGCAUCUUGUGUAUGGAAAGAUUUGAAUACAACAAAUUUUCCUUUCCGCUCAUGGCUGCUUGUUUUUUUUGUCCUGGCCUGUUAGGUUUCCUGUCAUCUCAUCUUCACGCUCGCAUACACCAUGUCCUUAUUUCUAGUUUCAUGAGUGUUCUUCUACUUCGUGUUGUUCCUAUCUGUUUUUUGUUCGCUCUGAACAUGACAGUUGUUGUCUUUUGCAUUAAGCUAUUUGUGUUAAGAAUAUUGAACGCAUAAUAAUAAUAUUAAAUUCCUGAUUUGUAUAUAACCCACCAAAUUAGAGAUAGAGAUUCCACCUCUCUCGAAUUGUAACUGGCCCUAGUUACUUGAAACAGUAGUUUCCUAUUUUAUCUGCAAUUUUGUGAGUGAGAUAGUCUUUCGGUUGGACUUUAAAUUCUCACUAAAUUGUAGAAAUUUUUUUUCUAAAUACUUUUUUUUUUUUAAUUUUUUAAAAAAUUAUAUUUUAUUCUCUUAAUAUUUCAAAUUGUUGCGUUUAACCCUUCUCAGCUAGAGUUUCAUUCCUAUCCCGUUUAUUUAUUUUUUAUAUUUUAUAUUGAAAAUACCUUUAAAAAAAUAAAAAUAUAUUGAAAAAUAUUUCAAUAGAAAAUUUUUUUAAUCUGAAUAAAAGAUAUCAUAAUGUGACUGUAUUCGAAUACACAAAUAAAGUUUUAGAGAGUGCAAAACUAUUUGAAAUUUCUCUUUUAGGUUUGGGAGUUGUUAUUUUUUAAUUAUUAUUUUUUAAUAUAGUUUUGUAAAAACUUACAUUUUAUAAAAUUCUACACUGAUGUAAUUAAGUUUUAUUUUUUAAUAAAAUGCCUACAGGCUUUAACCUAAAAAAAUAAAUAAAUAAAUAAAUAAAUAACUAUUCGAAUAUUGUAAAAAAUCGGAUGCGGAUAACUAAAAAUUUCGAAAUUUGUCAGUAAUCGGAUCCUCUCUUUCUCUCCUAAAACCGAACCCGUACCCGCUCCGCUCCCUCACCCCGACGAAACCGUAAACCCCGCACGUUCUCUCAUCUCCCUCCGCAUCUCCCAUUCUCCGCUCAUCUCUCCUCUCUCCAAACCCUAAACUCUCUCUCUCUCUCUCGAUCUCUCGAUCUCUCGACCCCGCUCUCUCGCGAGGACGACGACGAGGAGUCGGUGGCGAUAUCUAGGGUUAGCUCCCCUUAUCGAUACCUCUCUAGUGAUUAAGGAAUCAAAUUAAUGUUUAUGGAAGCUUGGUUUUUUGGACUAAAUGUAUGCUUUAAUGUUGCAAGAAUUUAUAGGUUUCCUUUGCUGAUGCUUUACUUACUGAUCGAACGAUUGUGCAUUUCUCCAUAGACAAGAACCAAAGUGGGCGUAGAAAUUGAUAAAUUAAGUUGUGUAAAUGUUUUCAGCAUCAGAUUCAUCAAUUCCAACUGCUGUACGUGUGUCCUAUGAGCAACAUUUCUUGUGUUUUGUUCUUUCUCACCAACUUGCUUAGUUUCUGAACUUUCGCAGCUUCGUGCACCGGUACGUGAAUCAGGACCAAAUAAGAUUAUCAACAACUGUCUAACAGCAAUUCUGACGCAGCUUGUCAACAAUAAACUUCGAUUAUCGAGCAAUUUUAGUUACUUUCAGCUGUUUCGACAUAAGUAAUUAUGUCAGUGGACUUUUCUCUGUUGUUAACCCAAUCAUGUAGUUCUAAUUAACCAUACAAAAAGGUGUCUGGAACUAGAAUAACCUGAAAGUUGAAUCCGCCUGUCAUUCCGUCAAUGUUGAGCACCUGCGUCCAAAUCACCUUCUGUGAUGCAAUAUCUUUCGCACGAAAUUUCUAAUCUUUUUAUGGAAAUAUCAAAAUCUCACCUCUCCUGGAAAGAAGAGAUUUGGUUGCUUCUGACUUUUCCAUGGGGUUAAGUGAAAUCUUCAUAAACAAGGGAAUAGAAUUAGGGAAUUGGGUUAGAGUAUGAAAUAAUGGAGGAGUUGAUCGUUUGUAACCUAAUGAUGCUAAAGUUUCUUUUGUUUUUGUUGUAAGUUGUAACCUAAAUUGCCUGGUAGGCCAUUUCUUUGUAUUAGUUUUGCUAAUGCGGCAUGUAGUUUCUUGCUGACAUUUGAGUUUAACUUUGUAGGUCUUUCAAUGGCAGAAGGUACGUCUGCUAAUCAUGAGGACCUCCGCAAUCUAAUGACGUCCUUAGCGGAAUUUAACAUGGAGACGGCAUCAUUCACCGAACAUAAUCAAAGGGAGCGACAUGGUAUGAAUAUAUGCCCCUUCCAUUACAUAUUGAAUUUAGACAUCUCUAAUCUUCUCUUUGAAAAGUUUUGCGUUUUGCAUAUGCUACUUUACCGGUAUUGCAUGUGGAUUAAUUCUGUUCUUAAAUUUAGCUAGACAUUUUUAAAUCUAGGUGUCUCAAGUGUUUGCUUAUUUGCAAACUUAUAACUGCACAUCAGAUUAUUAUAUAUUGUUUUCAUUUUUUAUGUGACUAUGUUGUUAAAUGUAUUUAUAUGACUUUGAAAAAAAAUCGAUGUCCUCAUUUGUCACUUCGAAAGAAGCUCGCUUAUGUAGCGUGUUGAUUUUUAAGGUACUCAGAUAUUCUAUGAUGAAGAUCUAGUCUCUCUUUGCGGUUUGCAUGUGCUGACCAUGAAUUGUGGAAUUGGAGUUUGAGAUGGUUGUAGUAGAGCGUACAAUGUGGUUUAGCAAAGGUAAUAACUAUGUCAAUUAAUACAUUGUAUGUUAUGAUUUCAGAUAACGGUUCUGAUGAUUGCUUCGGUGAAGAUGAAAUAUGGGGAGAUGCUUCAGAUGACGACGUGAAUCAUGGCACUGCUUUAAGCAGAGAAUGGGAAUGGAGGCACAACCGAUUUCAUACUGUAUCCUUGACAGAUGUUCUAUUCACAUUUACUCCCUAUAUUUAUGUUGUUCUUUGAAUUUUUGUGCUAGACAAAUCGGACUUAACAAAAGAUUAGAUGGGUUACCGGGAUGGUAUAACUGAAGGAAAGCAAGCUUCUGCACAAGAGGGUUUCAAUAUUGGCUUUAAACAGUCCGUGCUUGUUGGUUACAAAUGGGGCCUUGUUAGAGGCAUUACCAGGUAAAUUGGUAAUUCACUUUGUCAUACACUUUUUCCCUUUAAUUUUUAAUCUCUCUAACAUUUUCUUGAUUAUUGUGUAUUCACAGUGCAAUAGCUAGCCUUCCUGAAAACUUGAGAGAGAAAUUAGUGCCCAAGUCUGAGAUCCGGAAAGGAUUUGAGAACUUGCACACUUCUGUGCAGACGAUUUCAACCACUGAUGCACUCAAGAUGUAUCAUAAAAGCAUUGCUGCGAGUGAAGCAGGGCAGUCCUCUGAUCAUUCAGAGCAGAAGCUCCAAGACGAAGAUUCCAAUGCCAACAAAUUGGAGACUCUAUCUAAUGAUCUCAUUCUCCUCCUACACGAAACUCCCGAGAUAAAAAUCACCGAAGAAGAAUUAAAGACGCGAGAUAAGUAAAUAACCUCCUCGUAAAGGAAGUUGGUGGCGUCGUGUAUGUUGUACAAGAUAUACGUGUAUUUUAGCACCAAAAUGUGCCUUCCAAUACUGAAGCUGCAGAUCAGUUCAGAGUAAACGCGGCACUAUCAUUUUACUUUUUUUUCUUUUGUAGGGAAAUUAGUUGUGAGUCAACUUGUCCGGAUUAACGUUAAUGUAGAAAUCCAUCUACCUCAUCUUUUGCUAUUAUGUGUUUAGUGUAAUUCUUUUUCAUGCUUAAUUAUGAUUAACCAGAGUUAAAGGAGCAAAGAAGAAUCAUUAUGUUGAUAAUUGAUGACUGUAAGUCUGUAACAUGAAAUUCCUUUAUUUUCUCUCAUGCUCGAGUUGGUAUCACGUUUCCGACAAGAGGGUAAUUUUUUAAUAUAAAUCUUUCAAAAUAGUUCUUCUCCCCAGCAAAUGCAAAAUAGAUGGAAAUAUGUAUAGCUAACUCUUUUGAGUUAUUUUAACUGAAAUCUCUGGCUUGUGAUACUGCUGCUGUUUUUCUCCAUUUUUAAAAUUCAUGUGAGGUUCAGAUCCUCUUGAACCCUCUGAUAAGCAUUAAAAAAAAAAGAUGGAUGAGAACUCAUCCAAAUCAAUUGAUAAUUAAUUUUCAAAGAUUACACAUAUCAGGGGGUAUAAUCUGUGCAAUUAUGCAUAUAGCCUGUGCAGAAACUGUAUUAACUGCAAGAAGAAAUGUUUAAACACUACUGUUAUAAAUAUCAGGGCAUUUAUUUGAUACAUUACUAAUCAUAUAACAAACCCCGGUAGUCAGGUCAGUCAUUAAACAUGGAUUAUAUAUUUACAUUUCAUAAUAACUUUGUAGAUCCUUUGCUUCUUACACCCCCACAGUGCAAACUAUAUGAACAACAAAUCAGUUUGUCACCAUAGAUCAUUCACUUCCUGGUCCCUGGCUCUAAUAUUGCAGCGACCCCGCAAGUUAUUUGUUAGUUUCAACCAUACUAUAACACAACAACAAAAGAGGAAAAGAGAAGAGAAAAAUUAGAACAUGAAACCUUACAGGAGAACUAGCAAUUAAGAUAGCUUACUUUUUCGGGGUAAAUGUUAUUACAGUUGUUCAAACCAUCAGCUGCAAGCUUGGAUAGGCCUGAAUCUUGCUGUCUCAUUCUGCACGGAUUUUUCACACACAGGUAUCGGUAUAACGGUCUCGAAGGCUUCUACAAGCAGUUCGACUUUCUUUUUCCGAGCAGGAGCUAACUUGUUUACUGCUUUCCGAAGCGCAUAAUCUAUCAUCCAUUCCUCCGCGUUCUUCCUUUCGUCCAUCAUCUGAUGCCUGAGAUCGACCUUCUCUGCAUCUGGGUCCGGUUCUAAUGGAAGAAACCGUGGGGACCGAGGAUUAAAUUCUCUUAUAUAUUCCGAUUCCUGGGUUGUUCGCCUUCUUGCUAUGAUGUAUCUAUUCUUAGAGAACUCCAUGGUAGAAUCCAUGUAUUCGUCUUCUCCGAGGCUCAUCGCGCUGAAUGCAACACAAAUCUCGUCAACUUCGCAUUCUUCUUUAUCUUGAAAUUGCAAUGUCUCAUUUAUGUCAGACUCCGACGAGCCACCACCUUCUUCAGAGGCUUCCUCCUCCUGGUUCCUAAAAGAGAAAUUUUGGGUCUCAGGAGCAAAAUUUGGUUCCUCAGCAGCAUGUUCCGAUUUACUUGUGAUCUGUUUUUCCUCCUUUUCUUCCGGUUCAGCGUCAAUAUCUUCUUCAAUGUUACUACUCGCCUCAAUUCGAUUCGAAACUUGGUUGUCCGAGCUACUAUUUGUUUCAAAAUUAACUUGUUGAUAUGCUUCAUCGCCUUCUGAGAUGGCACUAGAUAUGAUUUCAUGUUCAGGAAAAGAGCUUACUUGUUCAAUUCUCGCUUCCUCCUCAUUGAUCUUCUCUUCAAACGCCAAGCUUGAGAUAUUCUCCUCUUCACCAACUUGGCCACAAGGAAAAUGGGCAGCUUGGUUCUGAAUUUCAACACCUUCGGACUCGAAAGGCUCGUCGAUUGUAGAUAUUUCUUUUCCGCAGUCAGAUAGAGCAUCACUUGUUUCAUGAGAAAUCUCCGCACCGCAUUCAACCAUCCCACACGGAUCUAAAUUGGACUCUGUCUCGAAUAACAAUCCAAUAUUAAGUUCAUCAUUUUGAAAUGAACUUUCUCGUACUCGCGUUGCUCCAUCAUCACUGCUCUCGUAGCAGUCACUUUUGUUAUCAUCGGGAAAGAGGUUUGCGUCCUCCAUAGAAUCCAUAUCAGAGGGUUUACGAUCUGGUAAAUUAGAUUCACACUCAACAUGGUCUUCACUAUGUUUCUCCGACUCCUCUAUUACAUAAUCAUGGGGUUUUUCUCCCUUGCCUUUGCAGUUCUGAUCGCGGCUUACAUAUUCGAGAAACUUCAUCGUCUCAUCCAUUUCUUCGACAGAAGAAUCACUCCAUCGGUCUGCAUCGUCCGCCAAAUCAACAACCGAAUUACUAUUUACCUCUUCUUCUCUGAAGCUUCUUCGAUCAAACUCUUCUUUCUCCAUCGUAUUCGUCUCCAGUUUAGCAUAAAUCUCAACAAAGAAAUCAUCAACUUCCUCUGCAUGCACCAAAGGAGUGAUCUUUAAACCGGAGCCGGAGGGGCUUUCGCUUAAAUUAGCUUGCCCAGUAUCCAUCUCCUCGAAAGAACCCUUCUUUCUGAAUUGGGCAACACCUUUCAAUCUAAAGCUCUUCUGGGUUCUCAUCAGCUUCCUCCUUGAGGCCAAGAAGCACUUCAGAGGGGGCAAACCCUCAUUCCUGUGGCCAUUCAAAGAGCAGUAGGUGUAGGGGCAAACCUUGAUUGCAGAAGUGCCCUGAGCUUCUGUUGCCCCUGGGCUCAGUUCCAGGGCCUUUGGGAACUUGGAAUCCUUGAGAGUUGAAGAGCAUGUUGCCCUGUUCACAUGCAUGCUGGAGCACACAAGGAUCCCUAUGUUCCUCUUCAGUGCAGGCCUUAUUGGCUUCCUCAAACUGGGCUUUUUCUUCAGGCUCUUUGGGGAUUGAUGGGUGCUUACCUUUGGAAGCUCCUUCCUUGCAUCUGAACUUGUUGUGGGCUUCAUGUAGUUGGGCAAAAGAUCCCUCUUUUUAGCAGCAGCAGCAGGAGGAGGAGAGGGGGUCUUCUUAUUGAGCUGGACAUAUCCAGCACCAUCUAUGUCUGAGAUGGUGAUUGAUCUCAACUCCUUCAUCUUCUUCUUUGUGUCUUGUUGAAGGUGGUGAGGAGGAAGGGGCUUCUCAGGAUAGGGGCCCUGCUUCUCCAUGGCUCUGGCCUGAGGGGAGAGCCUUUUGGGUGCUUUUCUUUGCACCAUGGUGGGAUGUGGGAGAGGGGGAAGAAGGAAACCAAGUUGAGGUUAGGGGGAGUUUGGUUUAUAGAAGGAAAAAAAGAUUUGGGUUUUGGCUUUAACUUUUGGUGUUUUCUUAGGAAGGAAGGGAGGGAGUAAAAGAAAGAAAGAAAGAAAGAGUGAGUCUAUAACCUUGUUGUUCUUGUUCUUCUUUGAAAAGGAAACCUCAUAGAGAGAUUCUUUUCCUUUGAAUUUCUAGAGGGUGUUGGUGUUUGUUCAUUGUGGGUGGGCGGCUGAGGUCUUUGCUUUUACUCUUUUUUUCUUUUUCUUUUUUUUAAUAACUAGGAAGGAAGAAAGAGGGUGAUUGGUCUUAGCCAAAAUAUUUGAAUAGUGUAUUGUAUCUUGUACCAGAUAAUAUACAUCAGAAUAUUGUCAAUAAAUCAGUUUUAUCUCGUAUAACAGCUAAUUGAUUAGCUUUGCUUCUAAGAUGAAAAAAACUAUGGUACUUGGUUAUAUUUCAUUCGAUUGCCAUGCGUAUCAUGAAUUGUAUUCAUUAAUAGCAUUUUGAAUUAUAUUUGUUCUUCAUAAAUUAUAAUGUGUCAGUAAAUUUAUAUUACAUUUUAACUGUAUAAAUGAACUAUAUAAAGUCUUUAUGUUACAUGUUAUUCUGGAAGAUUCCUAACACUACUUUUCUAAAAGAUAGAGAAGAAUUAACAACUAAUUAAGGAUUAUGAUAUUGACACCCACCCUAGGAUGGUGGUGGAUAGAGAUAAGCUUAAUUCCUGCACUCAUCCUCUUAGAUGGUGGCUUUGGAUGCUCAAAUUAUUAUUAUCAUUAUUAUUUUAAUUAUUUGAUGUGACAUUUGGAGCUCUCACAAAUUGGCUUCUAGUGCCCAUUGUCUCUUUCUUUUGGGGUACAUUUUUUAAAAGCAUUGACAACAUAAGCUCAGGAUUUUUUUUUAAAAAAAAAAAAGCUUCCAAAAUUGGCUGCAUUUAGUUACUUAGUAAAUGCAGUUUGAUUUCAAAAAUUUGAAAUUCGUCAAUCAUCGUUCUUACUUAUUCGUACAUAAAUCUUAAUAAUUUCAAUGGUUUUAAUUACUAUGUGAGCAGUGGUCGCAUUAGGUUUGCAGAAAAUUUAAUGAGGUGGCAAUUGAUUCGGAGGAGAAAAAAGAAAAACUUGUUCUUGCAAUUAUAAUGAAGUAUAAUAAUGGUUGGUUGGUAUAAAAUGUGGAAAAACUUCAAAAACCUUCCUUGUAGUUUCUUUUUUUUUCACUUUAAUACCCUGUGGUUUAAAAUGUAUCAAGUUAGUACCUUAUGAUUUCUCACUUUAUCACUUCAGUAUCCUUUGCAGGGUACUAAAGUGAUAAAGUGCAAAAUCACAGGAUACUAACUUGAUACACUUUAAACAAUAGGGUACUAAAGUGAUAAAGUGAGAAACCACAGAGUAUUAACUUGAUACACUUUAAAUUAUAGGGUACUAAAAUAAAAAAGUGUGAAACUACAUGGGGGUUUUUGCAAUUUUUCCAUAAAAUAUUUUCCUCGUGCUUGUUGCCUCGCGCGGGUCACGGCCUCGGCAUUUAUUGCGUGCGUGCAUACGAGAAAUUAUUGUAUGUACUCAACAAAAUAAUACAUAGUAUAUAUUGCAACUUAGUUAAAAAUACUACCACUUAAGUUUAAAAUUAUAAAAUUUAACUAUUUAUUUUUAUAUUUUUUUUUUUGAAUUUUGUUGCUUUUUGUGAUCACUUGCAUGUCUAAAAAAAUCUUUAGAAAUUAAUAAGCAAUUAUAAUAUAUAGUGCAUGAGAUGUAAAUAUAUUGGUGCGCGCAAAACGUGCAUCCGUGUGCGCGCACACUCACUCAUGUUGUAUGGGACUCACUACUACGAUGAAAAGAACCCAAUAAAAUAAAAACAGAACGAUCCCCCCGAUUUAUAAAUAUUGGAAACAGGUACGCGAACUAUUAGUUUAUUUGGACUUUAAUCCCCUAAUUGACAUUCUUUCAAUAAUAAUUUUUUUUUUCCCCUAGUACACAUUGAAGAAUUAAAAAUCCAGCCAAAAAUAGUUACAUGUUGCUAAUAAUUUUUGAUACCAUUACCUGGAAUGAUAUUUCAUGACAAUUGUUAAUUAAUAUCUGAAAAUUGUAGUGUUUUGUAAGACGAAAAAUAUAACAAGCUGUUCGGCUCGUUUAUUAUUAAUUUUUUUAAAAAAAAAAAUUGAAUCUCAGAUAUUAAUUAUUAAGUUUUGAGCCAGUUAUGCUAGAUAUGAUCAGUCUAUUUGAAAAAUAUAGUUAAAAAUUAAAAUACUAGAAGCAUCACAUUAAAAUAUUCUGACCUUUUUUUUUUCUUUAUUAACAUAAAUAUUCUUUUUGAACGUGCACGACAAAUAUUCGUGUUCUCAAAAAUUUGCAUUGGAGAAAUGCUUUCGCUUACUAUAUAUGGUUGGUUCAUGCAAAUAUUAUGGUAAACUAUUUUCUCAAAAAAAAAAAUUUAAAGAAAAUAUUAUUUUCAUAGUUUUCAUUUUCAGAUACGAAAAAACAAAAGACUCUUACACAAAAUGUGAAAAAAGAAAUAAUCCGUAAAACUUUUUUCAGCUAAGAAACUAUUUUUUUGAAACUUUUUUACGGAAAAACAAACAUGGAUAAAAGGCACAAUAUUGUGUUUGGUGUAAAUGAUUUUUAAUUAGUUUAUACAGUAUUCGAAAACAGUGAAAUGCGCGAGUUUGUUAACGUGUUAACAAUACAUAAAGGUAAUAUAUACUAAGAAAGCUACAUCAAGUAGUUUUGUUCACAAAUAUCUAUUAAUUGAGAAUGUUUACAAUCAUGCAUACUAAUUUAUCAUUAAAAAUAUAAAAGGAUAGUAUUUUUUUAAGAAAAAGAAAAAGAAUUGUAGCACUAAAUAGUUACGUAGGUAUCUCUUCUUAAUUGUAAUUCUGAGACAACUAUCAAUAGAAAGUAGUGCUCAUUACAUGCAAUACUUAUAGCUUAGUAUAAUCUUAGUGAAGAAUAUAAUUGUUAAAAGCUCAUACAGGAAUAGUUUUAUAUCAGAAAUUUUUUUUUUGAGAGAGACAGUACGCUACUAGCUUCGUUUAUUUCAUUUAGAAAUAAACUUAGCUGAAAAUGUGAAUCAACUAGAAUUCGAACUUGUGACCUCGGAUACCAAUCACCAAGUUUUUUGCCACUUACUUUAGAGACGGUUGGUUAUAUCAGAAAAUUAAUGUGAGUGAAAAUGAUAGACAUAUAUAUUUGCUGGGCACCAAACCCCUAACAAUAUCAUUAAAUGUCUCCGUAAAUGAUUGUGGAGAGGUUUAUUAUUGAUUAUUGGGAAAACUUCAAAAACCCCCUCUGUGGUUUCGUGCAUUCUCACUUAAGUACCAUGUAGUUUACAAUGUAUCAAUUUGUCCUCCUGUGGUUUCGUUUUUAAUUAUCUUUUCAGAAGCUCUUUCGUUAAUAUUUCGUUAAAUUAUAUACAAAAAACUUCAGAUAACCAUCUAUGUUUGUCGAAUAUUCACUUUAGUAUCAUUUAAUUUUAACUUUGUCACUGAUUUAAGAAAAAAAUAAUAAUAAAAUUGAUCACAAAAAGAGAAAAACGAAACCACAGGGGAGCAAAUUGACACGUUUUAAACCACGGGGUACUAAAGUGAGAACGUGCGAAACCACAGCGGGGUUUUGAAGUUUUCCCUGGAUUAUUUUUGCUACAUCUGGGGUACAAAAAGGCAUUUUAAUUUCUAUAUAUAUCAAUGGGGAACAAAUAAAGAGUGAAUCAGUGGGACAGGGAUCCUUGUGCUUUGAAAAAUGAUAUGAUAGCAAACAACGGCUAGUCAAAAUUGGUCACCAGAUAUUUGUCAGAAAAUUUUUGUUUAUAGAACUGCUCAAAAGUUUGAAUUCAAAAUUGAGGGUAGCAACGGUUCAACCCAUAAAUCCUCUUAACGAAAAAAAAAAAAAAAAAGAAAGAAGAAAAAAAAGGGUUUGACCAGCAAAAUGUAAUCCAUCUAUAUAAAAAGAAUCUGGUACGAGCACAUAGAUUUUUUUAUUUCUUUUUUCAAUUGGGAAAGAUUUUGAUUCGCCACUAAUUAUAGAUAAAGAAAUAUAGUUAGAUAAAUUUAUAUCCAAUUAUAAAUUAGGGAUCAAAAUAGAAGUUGGUGAUAAAUUUUGGAGAACGAAAGUGUGAUUACACCAAUGACUAAGACCCCAACACCAAAGUGAUGAUACAUGGAAAUAAUAAUAUUAUUAUGGAUCAAAGGCUUUCAAAAAAAAAAAAAAAAGUAUUUUAAAAUAUCAUUUCAAUAUAAAAAUAUCGUAUUAACUUUCCAUUAGAACCUUUUAUCAUUUUACAUAACACAAUAGAAUUAAUGAGAAAUAUCUUAUUGUUUUUUUUUUAGAGAUAGGUAGCACAAUAUCCGUUUCGUUUAUUUUAUUUAAAAAUAAAUUUAGCUAGAAAUAUGAAUCAACUGGGAUUCGAAUUUGGGUCUCGAAUAUCAACCACCAAACCCUUUGCCACUUGCUCUAGGAACGAUCGGUGAAAUAUCUUAUUGUUA